ACAUCAGAUCGUGUUGCAGAAGAAAAAGCGAACAGACGACAGGUGAUACCACGUCUGCUUGCAGGGAGAUGAAAAAAAAAGCUAAUCUGUGGCACAGAGAUGGACAAAGAUGUAAGAAAGACCAGACACAGGACUAAGAUGAGAGAUUAUUUUUAAAGGUGACUCCAGUGGCAGUACGGGGGGAGCUGUUCCUCACUCUAAUCCUCAUGUAGCAACGGCAAGGAUUUCCAAUACUCCAUAAAUUCAGGGCUUAUCUCCAGACAGUGACUAGUAAAUGGGUGGAAGAGAGAGGAAAGAGGAGAAGAGGAGAACAGCAAGUCUCUAGGCAUCAAAUUCCCCACAACAAUCAAUAUGUGGAGCUCAA